UACGGAGGGUGCGAGCGUUGUCCGGAAUCACUGGGCGUAAAGGGCGCGUAGGCGGCCUGAUAAGUAGGGGGGGUGAAAAUCCUGCGGCUUAACCGCAGGGCUGCCUUCUAAACUGUCAGGCUCGAGCACAGUAGAGGCAGGUGGAAUUCCCGGUGUAGCGGUGGAAUGCGUAGAGAUCGGGAAGAACAUCAGUGGCGAAGGCCGGCCUGCUGGGGCUGUUGCUGACGCUGAGGCGCGACAGCGUGGGGGAGCAAACAGG
rnacentral:rRNA from 1 species